rnacentral:rRNA from 1 species
UUCUACAGCCAUACCACCCUGAACUCACCUGAUCUAGUCAGAUCUUGGAAGCUAAGUAGGGUCGGGCCUGGUUAGUACUUGGAUGGGGCGCUCCAGUUUUUCAGUCC